rnacentral:tRNA from 1 species
GCACAGAUGGUGUAACGGUAACACGACGGUGGUAAAACCGUUGUUCGAGGUUCAAAUCCUUGUCUCGUGCG